UUGAACGCUGGCGGCAUGCCUUACACGUGCAAGUCGAACGGUAACAGGUCUUCGGAUGCUGACGAGUGGCGAACGGGUGAGUAAUAUAUCGGAACGUACCCUGGAGUGGGGGAUAACGUAGCGAAAGUUACGCUAAUACCGCAUACGAUCUAAGGAUGAAAGUGGGGGAUCGCAAGACCUCAUGCUCCUGGAGCGGCCGAUAUCUGAUUAGCUAGUUGGUGGGGUAAAGGCCUACCAAGGCAUCGAUCAGUAGCUGGUCUGAGAGGACGACCAGCCACACUGGGACUGAGACACGGCCCAGACUCCUACGGGAGGCAGCAGUGGGGAAUUUUGGACAAUGGGGGCAACCCUGAUCCAGCAAUGCCGCGUGAGUGAAGAAGGCCUUCGGGUUGUAAAGCUCUUUUGUCAGGGAAGAAACGGUGGUUUCUAAUACAGAUCACUAAUGACGGUACCUGAAGAAUAAGCACCGGCUAACUACGU
rnacentral:rRNA from 1 species